rnacentral:rRNA from 1 species
GACGAACGCUGGCGGCGUGCCUAAUACAUGCAAGUAGAACGCUGAAGGAGGAGCUUGCUUCUCUGGAUGAGUUGCGAACGGGUGAGUAACGCGUAGGUAACCUGCCUGGUAGCGGGGGAUAACUAUUGGAAACGAUAGCUAAUACCGCAUAAGAGUGGAUGUUGCAUGACAUUUGCUUAAAAGGUGCACUUGCAUCACUACCAGAUGGACCUGCGUUGUAUUAGCUAGUUGGUGGGGUAAGGGCUCACCAAGGCGACGAUACAUAGCCGACCUGAGUGGGUGAUCGGCCACACUGGGACUGAGACACGGCCCAGACUCCUACGGGAGGCAGCAGUAGGGAAUCUUCGGCAAUGGACGGAAGUCUGACCGAGCAACGCCGCGUGAGUGAAGAAGGUUUUCGGAUCGUAAAGCUCUGUUGUAAGAGAAGAACGAGUGUGAGAGUGGAAAGUUCACACUGUGACGGUAUCUUACCAGAAAGGGACGGCUAACUACGUGCCAGCAGCCGCGGUAAUACGUAGGUCCCGAGCGUUGUCCGGAUUUAUUGGGCGUAAAGCGAGCGCAGGCGGUUAGAUAAGUCUGAAGUUAAAGGCUGUGGCUUAACCAUAGUAGGCUUUGGAAACUGUUUAACUUGAGUGCAAGAGGGGAGAGUGGAAUUCCAUGUGUAGCGGUGAAAUGCGUAGAUAUAUGGAGGAACACCGGUGGCGAAAGCGGCUCUCUGGCUUGUAACUGACGCUGAGGCUCGAAAGCGUGGGGAGCAAACAGGAUUAGAUACCCUGGUAGUCCACGCUGUAAACGAUGAGUGCUAGGUGUUAGACCCUUUCCGGGGUUUAGUGCCGUAGCUAACGCAUUAAGCACUCCGCCUGGGGAGUACGACCGCAAGGUUGAAACUCAAAGGAAUUGACGGGGGCCCGCACAAGUGGUGGAGCAUGUGGUUUAAUUCGAAGCAACGCGAAGAACCUUACCAGGUCUUGACAUCCCUCUGACCGCUCUAGAGAUAGAGCUUUCCUUCGGGACAGAGGUGACAGGUGGUGCAUGGUUGUCGUCAGCUCGUGUCGUGAGAUGUUGGGUUAAGUCCCGCAACGAGCGCAACCCCUAUUGUUAGUUGCCAUCAUUUAGUUGGGCACUCUAGCGAGACUGCCGGUAAUAAACCGGAGGAAGGUGGGGAUGACGUCAAAUCAUCAUGCCCCUUAUGACCAGGGCUACACACGUGCUACAAUGGCUGGUACAACGAGUCGCAAGCCGGUGACGGCAAGCUAAUCUCUUAAAGCCAGUCUCAGUUCGGAUUGUAGGCUGCAACUCGCCUACAUGAAGUCGGAAUCGCUAGUAAUCGCGGAUCAGCACGCCGCGGUGAAUACGUUCCCGGGCCU